AGGCCUAACACAUGCAAGUCGAGCGGAUGAGAAGAGCUUGCUCUUCAAUUCAGCGGCGGACGGGUGAGUAAUGCCUAGGAAUCUGCCUGGUAGUGGGGGACAACGUUUCGAAAGGAACGCUAAUACCGCAUACGUCCUACGGGAGAAAGCAGGGGACCUUCGGGCCUUGCGCUAUCAGAUGAGCCUAGGUCGGAUUAGCUAGUUGGUGAGGUAAUGGCUCACCAAGGCGACGAUCCGUAACUGGUCUGAGAGGAUGAUCAGUCACACUGGAACUGAGACACGGUCCAGACUCCUACGGGAGGCAGCAGUGGGGAAUAUUGGACAAUGGGCGAAAGCCUGAUCCAGCCAUGCCGCGUGUGUGAAGAAGGUCUUCGGAUUGUAAAGCACUUUAAGUUGGGAGGAAGGGCAUUAACCUAAUACGUUAGUGUUUUGACGUUACCGACAGAAUAAGCACCGGCUAACUCUGUGCCAGCAGCCGCGGUAAUACAGAGGGUGCAAGCGUUAAUCGGAAUUACUGGGCGUAAAGCGCGCGUAGGUGGUUUGUUAAGUUGGAUGUGAGAGCCCCGGGCUCAACCUGGGAACUGCAUCCAAAACCGGCAAGCUAGAGUACGGUAGAGGGUGGUGGAAUUUCCUGUGUAGCGGUGAUAUGCGUAGAUAUAGGAAGGUACACCAGUGGCGAAGGCGACCA
rnacentral:rRNA from 1 species